rnacentral:rRNA from 1 species
UGAUAGUACCUUACUACAUGGAUACCUGUGGUAAUUCUAGAGCUAAUACAUGCUAAAAACCCCGACUUCAGGAAGGGGUGUAUUUAUUAGAUAAAAAACCAACGCCCUUCGGGGCUCCUUGGUGAAUCAUAAUAACUUAACGAAUCGCAUGGCCUUGCGCCGGCGAUGGUUCAUUCAAAUUUCUGCCCUAUCAACUUUCGAUGGUAGGAUAGUGGCCUACCAUGGUGGCAACGGGUAACGGGGAAUUAGGGUUCGAUUCCGGAGAGGGAGCCUGAGAAACGGCUACCACAUCCAAGGAAGGCAGCAGGCGCGCAAAUUACCCAAUCCCGAUACGGGGAGGUAGUGACAAUAAAUACUGAUACGGGGCUCUUUUGGGUCUCGUAAUUGGAAUGAGAACAAUUUAAAUCCCUUAACGAGGAACAAUUGGAGGGCAAGUCUGGUGCCAGCAGCCGCGGUAAUUCCAGCUCCAAUAGCGUAUAUUAAAGUUGUUGCAGUUAAAAAGCUCGUAGUUGAACCUUGGGUCUGGCUGGCCGGUCCGCCUCACCGCGAGUACUGGUCCGGCUGGACCUUUCCUUCUGGGGAACCUCAUGGCCUUCACUGGCUGUGGGGGGAACCAGGACUUUUACUGUGAAAAAAUUAGAGUGUUCAAAGCAGGCCUUUGCUCGAAUACAUUAGCAUGGAAUAAUAGAAUAGGACGUGCGGUUCUAUUUUGUUGGUUUCUAGGACCGCCGUAAUGAUUAAUAGGGAUAGUCGGGGGCGUCAGUAUUCAGCUGUCAGAGGUGAAAUUCUUGGAUUUGCUGAAGACUAACUACUGCGAAAGCAUUCGCCAAGGAUGUUUUCAUUAAUCAGGGAACGAAAGUUAGGGGAUCGAAGACGAUCAGAUACCGUCGUAGUCUUAACCAUAAACUAUGCCGACUAGGGAUCGGACGGGAUUCUAUGAUGACCCGUUCGGCA